rnacentral:lncRNA from 1 species
AUCGAACCUGGGCCGCACACAUGCCAGGCGAGCGCGCUACUGCUUGAGCCACAUCCCCAGCCCCAUGAAGGAAUUAUUUUAAGAGAGAGAAUUUUUAAUAUUUAUUUAUUUAUUUUUUAGUUUUCGGCAGACACAACAUCCUUGUUUGUAUAUGGUGCUGAGGAUGGAACCCGGAGCCGCACGUAUGCCAGGCGAGCGCGCUACCCCUUGAGCCACAUCCCCGGCCCAAGAAGGAAUUAUUUUAAAAACAAGAAAAAGAAUGUGUGGGGCUGGGGAUGUGGCUCAAGCUUGCUCGCUCGCGCUCUCUCUCUCUCUCUCUCUCAAAAAUUUUCUCUCUUUAAAAAUAUUUUUCUCUCUCUAAAAAAAAAAAAAAAAGAAUGUGUGGAUUAGUAGAUAAUAUAUGCAAGUUUUCUUUUAACUUGUCCCAAGAGAAAGUCGUAUUAAAUUCCCUUUGUUGAAGUGUGUGCACAUCAACACUGUGUAUGAUUAAGGUAUCCCUUUCUUCUUCAUUAUAUUUUUUCUCCUAUCCAGUCCUUAAUAUUAUCCUGUUAUAGAAUAACAGCUACAAAUUAGAUUUAUAUUUACUUGACUUGGAAGCAUCUCAUUAUUGGAGUGAUUUGUUGGUCCAUAGUGGAAGACAUGCCUAUUUUUGAGGGCUGUUCAUUUUCCAGGAGGCUGGAGGAGGACUGGCUUAGACAAUUAGAAAGAUGAUGGAUGGAAACUCUGGAAAAGCCAGUACUCUAACAUGAUGGGGGUGACGGGGGUUCUGUUUAUGUUAAUUAAUAGUGAUUUGAAUGAGCCCAGAGGCAUUGCUAGGGAUACAUUUUGAAAUAAAUAGUAAAAUGGAAGUUUAGUGAAACAUUAUAUAACUAAUAAUUUAGAAGCAUAGAUAUUUUUUACUUGUUCAUAUAAGUACUGCUGCAGUAAGCUACAUUUGUUUUGUGUUUCCAUACAGUACAAUCAAAUAUAUAUUUUUAUGCUUCUUAUUUCUCUUUAUUCUCCAUAGAGAUCUUAUUACUACUUACACACACACACACACACACACACACACAGAACAAUACUUCAAAUAUUUGUAUUGACAUUUGUGAUUGUGUUGCUGUUUUAUCAUUUUAGGAAUGUCUCUGUGUAGAGUAAAAUGACAGUGUAAACUUAACCACAAUGCCAAAUGUUUUUUUUUUUUUGCCAAAUGUUAAUCAUUAUUUUAUGUAUUUGAUAAUUUCUAGAAAAGACAGAAGAAGAUUGGUUAGAAAGAAUUCUUGAAUUGUAAGUAUUACUUAUUCCGGAGACCUAUGUAUGAUCAGAGUGAAUAUUGACGUUAUUUGGUUGUAAUAGCUCAUAUGUACCACAGUAGAAGAGUAAGAUCUAAAAAAUGCAGUUUGUUACCAUAGCAACCCUGUGUGCUAUUGCGCAUGAUGCUUUUAUUUCCUUUAAAUGUAGAUAUUUUUGUGAAAUACAACAAAGCUUAGAUUGUUGCUCCCAAAUUUAUUUUCCCACUUUAUUGGUUAGAACAUAUUUUAGAGCAUUCUCAAAACACAAAAUUUAUGAGAAAUCUCCCCCCCGGGUUGGUAUGUGACCAUGCCUAGGAAUUAAGGAUUGUAGGUUAUAUUUAAAUACGUCAGAAAUUAAAUACUUCAGAUUCAGAAAGGAGAAAAUGUAUAGACAUAUCCAUGUUAUAUUUUAAACUUGAUAUCAAGUUGACAUUAAAAUAAACACAUUGCACUUUUCCCCCCAAAUGCCUAAAUUAUGAAAUAAACACAGCUGCUACAAUUUCAGUGUAUAUGUGUCAAUUUGAUAAGAAUUGAAUGCAUUGUGAUUUACCAUAUGUUUUCUUUCUUAAUUAUAACUCUUACUUCUAAGAGUAUUCUAUAUUUUCAUUUCUCAUAUACCCAAUAAAAAUAUUUUUGUUUCCUUUAAACCUGAUUCUGCUGAAAAAAGAGGGAAAAGAACUAAAGAUUUAGGGUAAGAGUUUAGAGAUUUGGAAGGGCCACAUAUGGAUGAGAUAAGAGGUGAGGAAUUCUCAAGAAAGGAGGGGAAGACAUUCAUUCAUUUAUCCAACAGAUAUUUAUUGAGUUGCCUCAAGCCAGAUAUCGUUUUAUAUUCUGAGGAUAUGGCAGUGAAAAUAUUCCUGCUCUCCUGAAAUUUAUGUUGUAGGGAUGGAAGUUAGGAAAGGACUAUUUUCCUUCCCUAGCCUGAGAUGGCCCCAAUAUGACAAGAUAUUAGUAAAAGCAGCAUGAAUAACCAUGGCUGUGUUUGGCUAUGGUUAACUCAAGAGUCUUCUGUCUGCUAAAUUUGAAUAUUUUGUGUCAAGGACACUUUUUACACCAUAAUUUUGAUUUUGAUGUUAAUCUUCUUCAUGCAUUCCAAACUGCCCUCUACGGAAUGGACCUCACUCACAUUAAAUUCCUAAUUUUCUUUUACUUUGUCGGGACGUUUUGUGAGUGUUGUAACUAUGUGCAUUUUUUUUUUUUAAUAAUUGAGAAAGGGUCUCCCCUUUUGUGUUUGGCAUAACAUGGGUCUUAAAGGGUAAGUAGAAAUUUAGAAAGAGGGAACUAAGUAGCAGGAAAGUCCUGUUUGGCUCUGGGAGCCCCCAAGGUCUUGCCUAUUUCAAAAUGCACUCCUUGAUGGUUGCAAAAUAUUGAUAUUGUGGCACUCCUUUGUGUUGGAGGGGUGUUGGAGAGAAUGAAUUUCCAUUUUCGAACUGCUGCUGCCUAGCUGUGUGUUUUAGUUAGUUUUGUGACACUAACCAAAAGACCUGAAGAGAACAACUUAGAGGAGGAAAAGCUUAUUUUGACUUAGGGUUUCAGAAGUUCAGUUCAUAGCACUGGCCCAAGAUGAAGCAGAGCAUUGUGGUGGAAGGGCAUGGCUGAAGGAAGCUGCUCAGGAUAUGACAACCAGGAAGCAGAGGGAGAGAGUUCUGCUCACCAGGAACAAAAUAUAAACCCCAAAGGCACACCCCCAGUGAUCUUCUUCUAGCCACACCCUAUCUGCCUGUAAUUACUGCCCAGAUUCAUCUACCAAUUAAGUUAAUGCUCUUAUAACCCAGUCAUUCCACCUCUGAACAUUCUUACAUCAUCUCACAUGUGAACUUUUGGGGGAUACCUCAUAUCUAAAUUAUAACACUGUGUGAUCUUAAGCAAAUCACCUUUUUUUUUCAGAUUUUCUAUUAUUAUUUUUUUUGUACCAUACAAUUUUAUAUUUUUUUAGUCAUACAUGACAGCAGAAUGUAUUUUGACAUAUAAUACAUACAUGGAAUGUACAUACAUCAAUCAUAUUGUCUAUUCUAUUCUGCUGCCCAACAAAUUACCUUCUUAGAGCCUCAAUUUGUUUACCUAUAAAAAUAGGUUUAUAAUACCAACCUGUCAUAGAGAUAUUAAAUGAGGAAUAAAUGCAAUAACUUAUACAAAUUAUUUUUCAUGGUUCCUUCUGCUAAAUACCUCCUUGAGUGAAAGCAUUGCUAAAUGCUCCCUAGCACAGUAGAAAUUGUGUUAUCUGGGAGAGGAACUUCUGACCCAGUAAACUUGUUAAUGCAUGUGCUUGAAUUAGUGAUAUUAACUUUUUGUUAAUUAAAUAACUAGACUUCAGGGAAUAGUAUAAAGAACAAGUUUCAAUUUAGGAACAGGUGGUUGGGAAAUGUCUGUGGGAUGGGCUCAUAUAUGUGGGUAGGACCAAAUGAAGUGUGGACUGAGGGGAUGGUAUACAGUGCUAAAUGCCAGGGGAGUGCUAUAACUAGGGCAGCAAACACUGGGAAUCUGGAAACAAACUCUGUUUCUCUCAUCAUUUGUCUGGGUUUGUGUUUGUUUAUAGCUGAGUCCUCCCGUUUUCACAGUGAUUCUGAAGACCCUGAUCACCUGCUCAGCACUGACCUGAAGAACUCUUUUCAGGGAUGGACCCAUUGGAUACCAAAAGUGGUUUGGAUAAUCUGUCCAACUAUUCUUGAUAAGUUAUCUGAAUAAUAAUAAAAAACUCAACAGAAGAGGUAACCAUUUAAGUAUUUUAUUAUUAAUUUUGAAGAUGUUUGCCAUACUUUUAUGUUACAGAAGAGUAAGGUACAGAAAAUUUGAGGAACUUUUUUUUAAAAAUUGCAUCAGGAUCAGAAGUGUAGGUCUUAUAUCUGACUAUUGGCCUGAGAUUUCAUUUCUAGAAUUCUGAAAUCCCAAAAGCUCUAAAAACCAGAAUCAUUUCUGUUUUGUUUUUCCAAUUUUUUAUUGUGGUAAAAUACACAAUAAAAUUUAUCCUCUUAACCAUUCUGAAGGUAUAAUAUCCCACCAUCACCAUCAUCCAUCUCUAGAACUCUACAUUUUAUAAAACUGCAACUCUGUACCCAUCCAUUAAACAUUUCCCCAGUCUCUGUACCCUUAGCCCCUGGCAAACACUGCUUUGUUUUAAAAAAUAAGUUUAGAAUUAAAACUAAGUUGACAGCUAAGCCUGACUCAAAUUGAUUAAUUUUACUCCUGAUUUACUCCCUAUGUGGUAUGUAUUUGAGUAUAUUCAUAUAUUUUGCUUCAGAAAUAUUAAUAUAUUUAAUUAUUAGGGACUUCCCCAGAUCCCACUGGAAAUAUAAAGUUGUUCUUAUAUGUAUUACUUCAACAAGCAAACACUUUCUGAGUUCUGAAACAUAUCAGACCUCUGGGAUUUGGUUAGGGAUUGUAGGACCUACAAUAUACUAAGGUUACUAGUAUUGUUUUAUUAUUUAAAAUUCUGUUUUAGUUUAGCUGACCUUAAGAUCUGAAAAUUCAUUUUUGAAAAAUAUAAACUCAUUCAACAUUGUAGACAUUUGCUUAAAGCCCCCGUUUUCAGGAAGCGUGUUCAACCUGUCUUAAGCCCCUCUUGGAGGAUCCUUUAUCUUUACCUUCUCCAAAUGAUACCCCUGUAGGUGUGGAGGAGGGGGUGUGUGUUUGCUGGGGGGAGUAUGCUGGGAUCAAAUCUAGGCCUAGGCCUUGUGUGUGCACUACCACUCACAUGUCCCAGUCCUGAUGUCUGUUUCUUAAACAGAUUUUGAACUCUGUUUUGGUUUAGAGCCCUACCACCAUCUCCAGAUCUUCCAAUUCCUGGGAUUUAACCACUGCCUCCCCAAACCUCCCAAACUAACCUUCUUUACAUUUUAGUAUGGGAGGUUUUAAGGAGGGGGUGAAAGUUAAUGCUUAUGUUCAAUCUGCCAUCUUUAUUAAAUAUUUAUUUAUUUGCUUUGUUUAAAGUAACUCAAUAUUUUCUGUAUGUUCAUUUUAUAUACUUUCUGUAUGUUCAUCUUUUCUUGACAGAGACCCUAGUCUUCAGUGUUUGGUGGUCCUCUUCAGGCUCCUAGAGCUAUUGUGAAAGUGUACUUGACUUUGGCCCAGAAUGUGAUUGUUUUAGCACAGAUCUGACUGGUAUUAGUGUUGUGACAUAUUCUGCAUUACUGUUUUUUUUUCUUGUUUGUCUUCCCCUAAUGUCUUCCUCAGGCUUCUAGAGGAAGGAUGAGGAAAGAGCCAGGAGGGAAGCAGAAUCAGGGGAAGGGGAAGGACAGCCAAUCAGGAGUGGGACUUUGGCAUUUGACAAAUUAUUGCUUUCUUAUAUACUUUCAACAGGAAAGCAUCUGAGGCUUUCUGGUUAAUAUAUUAGAAUCUGCAUCAUCAUAACUAUACCUAAGGAUAGUAUUAGAAAUAUUUAAUGAUGGGUAUGUUGUGGGCAGUGACCAGUUAUGGAGCACCUUUAUGCUGUGCUGAUGUAUAUAUAUAUCCAGGCUUAUACUUGGGUAUAGCAUGCCCCAGCUUUCUACAACUAUCUCCCGCUUUUAUUGCCUUUCCCUAAUUUCUGGAAUGGAGCUUUAGAGAAAUGGGUUUGGGCUAUUUUUCCUCCUUCCAGGCUCCCUCCAUGAAGCUUAAACCAAAUGUCCCUGUGCAUAGUGGCAAUAUUAGAUGCUGUGGAAUUGGAAGGUAAUGGUCCUUCCCAUAGGGGAAGUCUCUGUUAUAAGAGUGAAAUAUGGAAUUCAGAAGUAAGUGUGUGCGUGUGUGUGCGCGCGCGUGCACUCGUGCAUGUGUGUAUGGUGUAUGUGUGUGUCUUGGGGGUGUGGGUAUGUUAUCAAAACCAGACUUAGCCAAAGGAGAUUUCUGUACUGGCAGAUUUAUCCAUUAGUUUUUCUUACCUCCCCUUCUCCUUCU